rnacentral:rRNA from 1 species
CACUCCUGCGGGAGGCAGCAGUGGGGAAUUUUGGACAAUGGGCGAAAGCCUGAUCCAGCAAUGCCGCGUGAGUGAAGAAGGCCUUCGGGUUGUAAAGCUCUUUUGUCAGGGAAGAAACGGUGAAAGCUAAUAUCUUUUGCUAAUGACGGUACCUGAAGAAUAAGCACCGGCUAACUACGUGCCAGCAGCCGCGGUAAUACGUAGGGUGCAAGCGUUAAUCGGACUUACUGGGCGUAAAGCGUGCGCAGGCGGUUUUGUAAGUCUGAUGUGAAAUCCCCGGGCUCAACCUGGGAAUUGCAUUGGAGACUGCAAGGCUAGAAUCUGGCAGAGGGGGGUAGAAUUCCACGUGUAGCAGUGAAAUGCGUAGAUAUGUGGAGGAACACCGAUGGCGAAGGCAGCCCCCUGGGUCAAGAUUGACGCUCAUGCACGAAAGCGUGGGGAGCAAACAGGAUUAGAAACCCCAGUAGUCCCAUGA